GCGGGAAUAACUCAGUGGUAGAGUGUCAGCUUCCCAAGCUGAAGGUCGCGGGUUCGAGUCCCGUUUCCCGCUCCA
rnacentral:tRNA from 4 species